AUCGCCGAUGCGAAAUUGCCCGACAUGCAGGCAGGCUGGGAACAGGCAACCUCGAAUGUCAUGGCAGGCCUUUCGGGCCUUAACAUGGUCUAUGAGGCGG
rnacentral:ncRNA from 2 species